rnacentral:rRNA from 1 species
AAUAGAUACCCAGGUAGUCCACGCCGUAAACGAUGGAUACUAGCUGUUCGUCCGCCUCGGCGGAUGAGUGGCUAAGCGAAAGUGAUAAGUAUCCCACCUGGGGAGUACGAACGCAAGUUUGAAACUCAAAGGAAUUGACGGGGGCCCGCACAAGCGGUGGAGCAUGUGGUUUAAUUCGAUGAUACGCGAGGAACCUUACCAAGGCUUAAAUGUAGAUUGACAGGACUGGAAACAGUUUUUUCUUCGGACAAUUUACAAGGUGCUGCAUGGUUGUCGUCAGCUCGUGCCGUGAGGUGUCAGGUUAAGUCCUAUAACGAGCGCAACCCCUGUUGUUAGUUGCCAGCGAGUGAUGUCGGGAACUCUAACAAGACUGCCAGUGUAAACUGUGAGGAAGGUGGGGAUGACGUCAAAUCAUCACGGCCCUUACGCCUUGGGCUACACACGUGCUACAAUGGCCGGUACAGAGAGCAGCCACUGCGCGAGCAGGAGCGAAUCUAUAAAACCCGGUCACAGUUCGGA